AGGAAUGGCAAACAAACCACUCUAACAUCUUUAUCAAGAAAAUCCCAAAUGCGAUCGUGAAGAGUUGGGACACCACCAAAACCACUGAACAAAAACAAUGUCCUCAGGGAGUUCACAAUCUAAUGGGAAAAGCAACAAACAAGCUAUCUACAGGAAAAAUAAGAAAUAACUGAGAGGAGAGGGUCUGGAAUUAAGAGUAUGGCAAGGCUUCCUGUAGAAAAUGAGAUGUUCAAUAAGAUUCGCAUCAUGCUACCUUCAAAUGAGGAGGGAAAACAUUCCAGGCAUGGGGGACAACCAGACAAAAUGCUAGGAGCUGAGAAAAAUGUCUUGUCUGAGAAAAAGCAAGGAAGCUAGUGACACUGGAUUGAAGAGUACGAGGCAGGGAAAAAGGAGUAAGACGACUGGAAAGGUAAAAGAGGUUACAAAGGGCUUUCAACACCAAACAAAAGAUGUUAUAUUUAUUUGCUCCUGGAAGAGAUAUGGAGCCACUGGAAUUUACCAAGGCGGGGUAGAGGGUAGACUUGGUUGGAUUUGUGUUUUAGGAAAAUCACCUUGGUGGCUAAAUGGAGAAUAAAUUGGAGAGGGAGAUACUGAACAGACCUACCAACAGGCUACUGCAAAUUAUACAGGUGUGAGGUAAUGACGGACUGUACUAGAGAGUGGGCAGUAUCAAGGAGGGGAAAGUAUCAAGCAGAGAAAGAGACAUAUUCAAGAAGUGAUACAAAGGUGAAACUGACAGGCCUUGGCAACAGAUGAGGGCAGCAGGGGUGGACGGGAGGAGCAGCAGAUAGUGAGGAGUCUAGGAUGACUCCAAGGAUGUGCUCCUGAGAGACUGGGAGCAGGGCAGAGCCCUCAAUAGUAACAGGGAAAUUAAAUGGGGACUGAGUGAGGGAGGAGGAAGAGAGGUUAAAGAAACAUAAUGAAUUCAGUUUGCACAUGUUUAGGGUAAAAUGUUUACUAGAUAUCCAGUUGAGAUAAAUGAAAGGCAACUGCAAAUUUAAGACUGGAGGUCAGCAGAGAGGUCAGAGCAGCAUAGACAGAUUUGAAAAUCAGCAGCACAGAAAUGGUAAUUAGAUCCAUGGAAAUUGAUGACAUCACUAAGUGAAGAAGCCCCAGGACAGAACUCUGAGGGAUACCUAUGGAGGGAAUGCAUAAGGAGAAUGAGAAGGAGCAAUUACAUGGGAACUUCCAGUAUAAGAACUACCUUCAUCGUUGCAAAUGGACUGCACUUCUGCAAUUUACAGUCAGAGAGGUGACUGGGGAACAUGCUAGAACAGAGAGGGUAAGGAGGCAAAAGGGAAAAGGGGCUAAACUGGAUUGCCAAAAAAGGAUUCAUGAUCAUUGAAACAUUAAACAAACAAACAAAAGCAGAGAAGGGAACAGAAGGAAGCACA